UACGUAGGGUGCAAGCGUUAAUCGGAAUUACUGGGCGUAAAGCGUGCGCAGGCGGUUUUGUAAGUCUGACGUGAAAUCCCCGGGCUCAACCUGGGAAUUGCGUUGGAGACUGCAAGGCUGGAGUCUGGCAGAGGGGGGUAGAAUUCCACGUGUAGCAGUGAAAUGCGUAGAGAUGUGGAGGAACACCGAUGGCGAAGGCAGCCCCCUGGGUCAAGACUGACGCUCAUGCACGAAAGCGUAGGGAGCGAACAGG
rnacentral:rRNA from 1 species